rnacentral:rRNA from 1 species
GGUUGCGAUCAUACCAGCACUAAUGCACCGGUCUCAUCAGAACUCUGCAGUUAAGCGUGCUUGGGCGAGAGUAGUACUAGGAUGGGUGACCCCCUGGGAAGUCCUCGUGUUGCAACCCC